rfam:Calothrix sp. 336/3, complete genome.
GGGUGGUUAGCUCAGUUGGUAGAGCGCCUGCCUUACAAGCAGGAUGUCACAGGUUCGAGUCCUGUACUACCCA